rnacentral:rRNA from 2 species
UACGUAGGCAGCAAGCGUUGUUCGGAGUUACUGGGCGUAAAGGGUGCGUAGGCGGCCCCAUAAGUAUGGUGUGAAAUCUCCCGGCUUAACUGGGAGGGUGCGCUAUAGACUGUGGGGCUAGAGUGUGGGAGAGGAAAGUGGAAUUCCUGGUGUAGCGGUGAAAUGCGUAGAUAUCAGGAGGAACACCGGUGGUGUAAACGGCUUUCUGGACCAUAACUGACGCUGAUGCACGAAAGCGUGGGUAGCAAACAGG